ACAGCACCACUGAGAACCUUAAAGAUGCCAGGAGGCAGUCUACCAGGAAGAAGGACUGCUGGCUCCUCUUGGUGCUGGAGGUACCAGAAGGGCACACAAACACAGGAGCUUUAUAUCAGACCGGACCUCAAAGUGAUUCCACACUUGAACUCUACUGUGUCCAAAAUCCACCAAGGUUCGAACUUGUCUUUUGGUCUGUCUUUUUGUGGGUUAUACUUGAACUGCAUGUGUCCCGCACAUCUUUUUUUUUUAAAUAGCUUGCUUCAAAGUGCGCCGUGCAGUGCCAAAGUAUUGUGUGCUGGCCACAGAUUUGACUGAAACUUCUGAUGAUGCUUGGUCUUCAUAUUGGCUGGUCUGUCCAGCCUUGUCUGAACGUGGGAGAUGCAUGCAGUCUAUGAAACCUUUUACAUAUCUACUGAAGAAUGUCUUUUUUAAGCCUUUGUUUACCUGUUUUCGGUCAGACAGUUAAUCGAGUCUGCAAAGUGUGUAUUUCAUUCCCUCUCCAGCAGAACUUUCUCAGUCCUGUAGUCAGAAAUUUACAGUAUUAUUCCUUUUAUUCCUGUAAUUUAGCUCUUUAUUGCAUACAGCUCCUCUUUAUCGCUAGAAGUUUUUAAUGCACAACUACCCAACAUCAGAAAAAGAGCUUUUGGUACUCCUGUGUCUGUCUUGUUUAAAUUGUUCCAAUGUAAAUAUUAUUGAUUCGGUCUAUGUAUUUCUAAAAUAUGCAAACACUGUAUAUUACUGCAUUGAUGAAAGGAUCUUGAGCAGAACAUUGGUCUAAAUCGGUACAGUAUUGCAUGAGAGUCCACAAACAUAUCAGGUACUUAUAUGGGCUUUAACUGUUUUUUGUUAUCUUUAUGCAUUUAAAGAAAAAAUUUAUGCAAAUAUCUUCAAAUGUAGCUGUAGUAAUACAGUUUAAUUUUGAAAGUCGUCAUUUCAGAAAGCAGUGGUUCCAAAUUUUGAGUCCAGUGUUAACAGGAAAGAUGGUGGUAGUGCAGUGAGCAUUUGGGAUUGCUACCCCAUACAGGUAAGAUCACAUCUGAAGUAUUUUAUCUGUUUGUUGUUUACAGCAUGGGAUGUAAAAUCCAUAGUAAUUAAGAGCAUUUGUAAAGCACAUUACAGUGCUUCAGCUGAAUUUAAUGUAAAAUAGGUAUGGAUAAUGUCAGCUCAACAUAACGUUCAGUGAUUUUUAACUGUUUAUGGUGUGUUUUUGAAAAGAUGUGUUAUGUGAAAUUUCAGCUGCGAGCACUUUAGAAUUUGAUCCAGUUUUAAUCCAAAGAAGGCAAGGAUCACAGCUGGCCCAAAUGGGAAUGGGUGCAGCAUGUUUAUAGAUGGUGCUAUUGAUACCCCUCAGGGGUAGAUGGGGAUAAUGUGAUGUGGUGGAAUGCUUGCUGCUACAUGCUGAUUGAUACCAAUUACACCGAUAAAAUUUCUUCUUUCUGCUGAGAAUGACACCCACCUUUCCUUUUAAAGCAUUUAUUUGGAAUGGAACUAAUGAACACGACAAUAGAAAUACAUGUUAUGAUGAAUAUGCCUCUGAACACUGAUACAAGUGCUACAUAUCAUAAACUGAUAUUGCUUCUACCCUUUCCUGAAUAAGGGUGAGUGAGGUGUCUUGUACGUUGUCCUGCCUUGUUGACUAGAGACACUAAGGCAGUAGGGCACCUUUACCUAGGAAGCCCAAGUAAGAACAGUCUUGCAGGCCCAGGGGUUCCUAGGGGCUUGAACCCCUUGCAAGGGCUGAGCGUUUGUGACCAUGGAGUAGAUGAGCUAAGAGACACCAAUGGAUGACGACGAGUUCUUUGAAAUUCCUCGUAUUUGCCGAAUCUUGAUUAUGGCACUCCAGCAGAGAGCGCUUCUAACAGUUCUCUGGUGAAAUAACCUUUAAACUAACGUAAUGCAAAGCAGAUGUCAGUGAAGAAUACAGCAUUUGUAUUGUUGCACGAUUUUACAGUUGUAAAUAAGUUUUCUAUUAUUUGAAAUGUGUUGGAUAAUUCUACUUUGGUAAAAUCUCUAUUUAUUUGAAUUCUGUGUAAUUUCAGCAGUCUCUGUGAAACUGCCUGUUAUUCAUUUUGGAAACAAAUAAAAACAAAUAAAAGUAUGCA
ensembl:lncRNA